AGCAAGCAGCCCCUUAGCCACCAAAAAAAGGCUCUGUUUCAGAUAGUGGUGCAAAAAAAUCUUUGUCUACUUUUGGAGAUUUUAAUGUCGUAUGACAUUAAUCAAACUAUGGAUGCUCUGUCAUUAAUCCAUAUGCAUCUGUAGCUACUAAAACUAAGUUUUCUUUUCACAAGGAAGAGAUAAUGAUUUGAUUACCUGUGCGAGAGAAGCUUUGCUUCCUUGACCUUGAAUCAUUAUUCAGCCUGUUCCUCAACAGGCACAUUUGCAGCCAGGAUCUAUAACUGCCUGCGUGUUUAUUAGUAUGCAUGCUUUCAGUGGGCUGUGUAUAUUUGAUCUUCGAUGCAGACCCCUAUCUGAUGAGGUGGACCACACACCCCGAUGGGCUUCGAAGAGCAUUGUGGAGGAAAAACAAAAUUAUAUACGGCUGUUUAUUCACCUGUAGCCUGAGACAGACAACAGAGGAAUGAUUCAUGAGGUGCAGGAUUAUGUUGGUAGGAACCGGAGAGGUCUUACUGCACCUGUCUGUGUCCAAAGUCAUUAAGGAUGGUGGCCAGUUUCUUCGUGCUGGCGUGCUGAUGCUGGGCGACGACGGCAGGGUUGGGAUCCCUCCAGUCUACGGAGAGCCGAUGGAGCCACAUUUCAUCCUGCUGCAGGUGAGGCUGCUUCAGGCUGGGAUCGAAGCAGUGGACCUCGCAUCCUGACCUGGCGAGGGAACGCUCCAGUGACCGGUCAUCCACCCCCAACCUGCAGCCCACACAGAGGGACAAAAUCAGGCAAAUCCCUUCAGACCUUUGCAGCACCCCAGCGCAGCGGAGGCCCAGCAGGAUCGUGCUGUUCUACGACACAUAGCCAACUGACUCUCCACUCUUAAGAUGGUCAAAUACCUCCGGGCCUGCCUGAUUCGACCCAAGAUUACUCCACCGCUCAGUGAGAGGAAGCAGAGGUUGGUCGGACGUGAUGUUCCAGGUGCACGGCAAACAUGUGGACGGGGGUCAAGCCCACAGAGUCUCCUCUUAACCACGGUACACUGCAAGUCACUGAUCGCCAAAAUUCUGAAGAAACCAAACGAUAACAUCCGGACAUCCUGGACCAG